CACGGAGUUAGCCGGUGCUUCUUCUGUGAUUAACGUCAAUUUGUUGUGCUAUUAACACAACAACCUUCCUCGUCACCGAAAGAACUUUACAACCCGAAGGCCUUCUUCAUUCACGCGGCAUGGCUGCGUCAGGGUUGCCCCCAUUGCGCAAUAUUCCCCACUGCUGCCUCCCGUAGGAGUCCGGGCCGUGUCUCAGUCCCGGUGUGGCUGGUCAUCCUCUCAGACCAGCUAGAGAUCGUCGGCUUGGUAGGCCUUUACCCCACCAACUACCUAAUCCCACUUGGGCUCAUCUCAUGGCAUGCGGCCUUGCGGUCCCGCACUUUCGUCUCUCGACUCUACGCGGUAUUAGCGACAGUUUCCCGUCGUUAUCCCCCUCCAUAAGCCAGAUUCCCAAGCAUUACUCACCCGUCCGCCACUCGUCAGCAAGAAAGCAAGCUUUCUCCUGUUACCGUUCGACUUGCAUGUGUUAAGCCUGCCGCCAGCGUUCAAUCUGAGCCAGGAUA
rnacentral:rRNA from 1 species